rnacentral:rRNA from 1 species
ACUCAAAGGAAUUGACGGGGGCCCGCACAAGCAGUGGAGUAUGUGGUUUAAUUCGACGCAACGCGAAGAACCUUACCAAGUCUUGACAUCCUGCGACGCACAUAGAAAUAUGUGUUUCCUUCGGGACGCAGAGACAGGUGGUGCAUGGUUGUCGUCAGCUCGUGUCGUGAGAUGUUGGGUUAAGUCCCGCAACGAGCGCAACCCUUAUGGUCAGUUACUACGCAAGAGGACUCUGGCCAGACUGCCGUUGACAAAACGGAGGAAGGUGGGGAUGACGUCAAAUCAUCAUGCCCUUUAUGACUUGGGCUACACACGUACUACAAUGGCGUUAAACAAAGAGAAGCAAGACCGCGAGGUGGAGCAAAACUCAGAAACAACGUCCCAGUUCGGACUGCAGGCUGCAACUCGCCUGCACGAAGUCGGAAUUGCUAGUAAUCGCAGAUCAGCAUGCUGCGGUGAAUACGUUCCCGGGCCUUGUACACACCGCCCGUCACACCAUGAGAGCCGGGGGGACCCGAAGUCGGUAGUCUAACCGCAAGGAGGACGCCGCCGAAGGUAAAACUGGUGAUUGGGGUGAAGUCGUAACAAGGUAGCCGUAGGAGAACCUGCGGCUGGAUCACCUCCUUUCUAAGGA